GGGGUCAUAGUAUAAGCUGGCUAGUAUAGGAGGCUCCAAACCUUCGGAUCAGGGUUCAAAUCCCUGUGACCCCA
rnacentral:tRNA from 1 species